CUGAGCCGAAGGCAGACGCCCAACGACUGAGCCACCCAGGCGCCCCUCAUUUUUAAAGUAAAUUGCUCUUGUAACUCCAUAAGUUAGAACUCAGAAAAGUUACUCAGUCUCCUUCUCAUCUAGGGCAGGUGACCUGAGCUCCACCAAUGAAUAUAUCCACAUGAGACUCUGAGUCAUAAGUGAGGGAUGUGAGAAAACAGACAUACAAAUUUAAAGUUCAUCAUCUGGUGAGCAAUGGAGACAAAGCUUUAUGCAGUUGUACAGAGGAAUUAUUGAUUCAGCUUUCCAGAUACUAGGAAAGGGCUACUUUUUGACAGUGACCAUCCAAUCACUUGAAAAGUAUUCCCCUACUAUAAAUAUUUACAAUCUUUAUACUUUGGCUUCAUGCGAGCCUAAUCAGUAACUGAGAAACUCAUCACUCUGGAUUAAUUAGCAAAAUCAAAUGUUGAAGAAUAGGUAGGUCAUAAAACACACUGCAAAGUUGAAGAAUAGGUAGGUCAUAAAACACACUGUCUUCAGAAAAGUAGUACCACCUGGCAGGCUUGGCCUGACGACUGGCAGGUCUUCCCCUAGAGUUGCAAGAGUAAGAAUCACGUACAUUACGUAUGAUAGUAAAAUAUAAAACAUGCAUAAGAAAACUAACUGUACUUGACCAUUUAUCGGAAGGUCCUGGAUCUUUAAAGGGCUAUCCUCACUUCAAAAUAUAAAGGGAUUUAGAUUCCUCCAAACUAAACUUCGUCAUGUUAAUUCUCAUGGCCAUGAGAAAUCUGGACAGGUUUCAAAGCUAUUUCUCACAAUUAAUAUCUUUAUUGCCCACCAACGGAUUAUUAACUAACCACUGGCCUCAAUUUCAGUAUAGGAAAAACUAUUUUAGUCACUGUCAUAGGAAGAAUUCUAAGAUGAUCCCAAAUGACCCCUCACCCUGUGAAUAUAAUGAGAUCACUCCCCUGACUAUCUCACAUUACAUAGUAAAAGGAUUUCUACAGGCAUAUUUAAAGUUUCUAAUUAGUAGUCUUUGAGUUAAUGAAAAGAUUACCCGGAUGGGUUUAGCCUAAUCACAAAAGCCCUUCAAGUAAGAGUCUAGAAUGCAAAGGCAGACACAGAAGGUAAAGAAAUGAACCCCUGCUGUCCUGAAAGAAAACAAAAUGCCUAUGAGGGCCAAGUGACAAGGAACUGCAGGUGGCCUCUAGGAGCUGAGUGGCCCCCUUCAACAGCCAGGAAGAAAUAAGGGCCUCAGUCCUGUAACCACAGAGGACUAAAUUCUACUACAGCUACAUGAGCACAGAAGAAAACCCUAAGCUCCAGAUAAGAACACAGUCUGGAUGACACCUUGUGAAACUCUUCGCAGAGAUACCAGUGAGUGGCCCACGCCAGACUUCUGACCUACGGACUAUGAAGUAACAACUGGGUUAUUAGGCACUAAGACUGUAGUAAUUUUGUUAUGCAACAUAAGAAAAUGUAUACAAUCGCUUUUGGGAAUAAUAAACCUUGAGUGGCUUGUCCCUA